GCCUAGUUAGCUUAGUUGGUAGUGCGUCUGCCUUGUAAGCGCUAGGCCGCGGGUUCGAUUCCC
rfam:Asian citrus Psyllid, Diaphorina citri - Florida Strain, whole genome shotgun sequence.